UACGGAAGGCAGCAGUGGGGAAUAUUGCACAAUGGGCGCAAGCCUGAUGCAGCCAUGCCGCGUGUAUGAAGAAGGCCUUCGGGUUGUAAAGUACUUUCAGUCGUGAGGAAGGUGUUAAGGUUAAUAACCUUAGCAAUUGACGUUAGCGACAGAAGAAGCACCGGCUAACUCCGUGCCAGCAGCCGCGGUAAUACGGAGGGUGCGAGCGUUAAUCGGAAUUACUGGGCGUAAAGGGCACGCAGGCGGUUAAUUAAGUUGGAUGUGAAAUCCCCGGGCUUAACCUGGGAAUGGCAUUCAAGACUGGUUAGCUAGAGUCUUGUAGAGGGGGUAGAAUUCCAUGUGUAGCGGUGAAAUGCGUAGAGAUGUGGAGGAAUACCGGUGGCGAAAGGCGGCCCCCUGGGACAAAAGGACUGACGCUCAUGUGCGAAAAGCGUGGGGAGCAAACAGGGAUUAGAUACC
rnacentral:rRNA from 1 species